UACGGAGGAUGCGAGCGUUAUCCGGAUUUAUUGGGUUUAAAGGGUGCGCAGGCGGCGUGUCAAGUCAGCGGUAAAAUGUCGGGGCUCAACCCCGGCCGGCCGUUGAAACUGGCGUGCUCGAGUUGGAGAGGAGUAUGCGGAAUUCGUGGUGUAGCGGUGAAAUGCAUAGAUAUCACGAAGAACCCCGAUUGCGAAGGCAGCAUACCGGCUCCACACUGACGCUGAGGCACGAAAGCGUGGGUAUCGAACAGG
rnacentral:rRNA from 1 species